UGGGGAAUAUUGGACAAUGGGCGGAAGCCUGAUCCAGCAACGCCGCGUGAGGGAUGACGGCCUUCGGGUUGUAAACCUCUUUCAGCACCGGCGAAGCUGCUCCUUACCUUUGGGUGGGGGUGGUGACGGUAGGUGCAGAAGAAGGACCGGCCAACUACGUGCCAGCAGCCGCGGUAAUACGUAGGGUCCGAGCGUUGUCCGGAAUUAUUGGGCGUAAAGGGCUCGUAGGCGGUUUGUCGCGUCGGGAGUGAAAUCACCGGGCUUAACUCGGUGCUUGCUUUCGAUACGGGCAGACUGGAGGCAUGCAGGGGAGAACGGAAUUCCUGGUGUAGCGGUGAAAUGCGCAGAUAUCAGGAGGAACACCGGUGGCGAAGGCGGUUCUCUGGGCAUGUCCUGACGCUGAGGAGCGAAAGUGUGGGGAGCGAACAGG
rnacentral:rRNA from 1 species